rnacentral:rRNA from 1 species
UCUUUUUGAUUAUAAUUUAAGGUUUAAUCUGCUCAAUGAUUAUUUAAAUUGCCGCAGUAUUUUGACUGUGCAAAGGUAGCAUAAUAAUUAGUUUCUUUAUUGGGAACUGGAAUGAAUGAUUGGACGAGAAAAUUUCUGUCUCUUUAUUAUUUUAAUUGAAUUUUACUUUUAAGUUAAAAGGCUUAAAUUUUAUUAGAGGACGAGAAGACCCUAUAGAGUUUAAUUUUUAUUUAAAUAAUUAUUUUUAGUAUUUAUAUAUAUUAUUUAAAUAAAAAUUUAGUUGGGGUGACUAAAAGAUAAGAAUAACUCUUUUAAUUUUUAUCAAUUAUUUUUGAUUAUAAAAUCUUUAUUUUUAAUUUUAAAAUAAAUUACCUUAGGGAUAACAGCGUAAUUCUUUUUUAAAGUUCUUAUUAAAAGAAGAGUUUGCGACCUCGAUGUUGGAUUAAAAUUAAUUUUAGGUGUAGAAGCUUGAAAAUUAAGUCUGUUCGACUUUUAAAAUUUUACAUGAUCUGAGUUUAAACCGGUGUGAGCCAGGUUGGUUUCUAUCCUUAAUUAUAUAUUAUAC